CGGACGGGUGAGUAACGCGUGGAUAACCUGCCUCACACUGGGGGAUAACAGUUAGAAAUGGCCGCUAAUACCGCAUAAGCGCACAGUACCGCAUGGUACGGUGUGAAAAACCCAGGUGGUGUGAGAUGGAUCCGCGUCUGAUUAGCCAGUUGGCGGGGUAACGGCCCACCAAAGCGACGAUCAGUAGCCGACCUGAGAGGGUGACCGGCCACAUUGGGACUGAGACACGGCCCAA
rnacentral:rRNA from 1 species